CUCUCUCUCUCUCUCUCUUCUUCCCUCUUGGUUGACAUGUUUGUGUUACAUUGCUUAAGGUAGAUGUUAUAUUCAACCUAAAAGCUAGCUAUUCUCACCCUUCCAUCCUGCAUGAAUGAACAAUGGGCCGUGAUCAAACAGGUUUCUGUAGGAAGUGAUUUUUUCUAAACUCAACCCUUGUAAUGGGACAUGUUCUAUAGAAUUUGUAUUAUCUUUAGGUGUGUUCUAAGGGGUGAGUUAAUCCUUUCUUUGCACUACUGGUGGGUUCCUAAUAGACUUGAAAAAGGUGGUCUUCACAUGGAUCUUGGUUCAAGACUUCCAGUUGCUUCUGUUGCUGUCUUUUGGACCCUUCUUCCCUUCAUUGCCCUUUUUUCAGGAUGAAAAUGGUUUUGGGACCUACAUUUCAAUUGCCAUUUUGCAGUUUCUUCGUUAUGGCUUAGCAUGUUCGUUUCUCCAUCAUUAUCCUGCCGGAUGUUUGCUUGUUGAUUAACUUUAGUUCAAGUUGAUGGCAUCUCAAGGACUUUUUCACUAAAAUUCUCUCAUGGACUUUUUCACUAAAACUCAUCUGUGAUGAUUCACAUUCAAAGAGGUAAAGUACACUGUUGUCUUUUACCAUUCUCUGGCAGUCUUGUUUGGUCCAUUCAAACUGAAGCAUGUAGUAAUGAGGGAUAAGGUGGAAUUAUUGGAGAUUUAAAUUUUAGUAAAGCUUAUUUUGGAAAGAAAUUUAGGAAAUUUAUUUAAGUACUAGUAUUUUAUUUUUUUAGCAAAUUUAAGCUGGUUUAGCAUUUCUACUUAGUAUUAGCCUCAUAUUAAUAGGACUAGUUAUCAUACCAUAAAUGCCUAUGUCAUCUAAGUAUUCUAAUAGAGCUUAUUAUGAUUAUUGUUGACAAUUGAGAACUAGUAAAAAUUUUAUUUUCUAUUAUAUAUAUAAAAAAAUUAAUAAGAAUUUUGAGAAUUUUAUUAAUUUCCCCUUUGAUUGUUCUAUUGGUUAUACAUCAGAAUGCCUCCUCCUCAAGGAGACUGGAUCUGAGUUAUCGUAGGCUAGACGAAGAAAUAAUUCGACUUAAAUUUUAGAAGUGGAAAUUCUGCCUUCUUUUUUUCUUAGGAGUAUAAAUUUUGAAGUGAUAUGAUGAAUUAAUAAUAAGCUUAUUAUUUUGCUGUGUCUCAAGUCUCAACAUAAUAGGUUCCAUUUCCAUCAUAU
rnacentral:misc_RNA from 1 species